GGCAAAUAUUCAGGUCUGGGCUAUCGUAUAAGGGGAUUUCGAUUAAAGAACUGAGUCAAGAGAGGUUUCAACAAUCGGGGGUUGUUUGUCGACGUUGUGGAACAAGUCAUUCAGAACCGAGAUUUCGGCCAUGGCAAUAGCCAUCUUCGCAGUCACAGGGGAGAGGAUUAGGACCAUCAUGGCGAGAUGGUCGAAGUCAGUCACGUUCAUCAUCUAGGCAGCCAAGCAGAGGACCUAACCAGCGUGGCAGAAUAAAUGUUGUUACCCAAACAGAGGCUGAUCAUCACUUAGGUAUGCAUGGCACCUCCGGGACAGGGGACGUCUCGGGAUAUAGAAAGAUGGGCUGAGUGGGUGAACUUACAUCUAUUGUAUUAUAUGUAAAUUUUUAACCGGAAAAACC